AGGCCCCAUCGUCUAGCGGUUAGGACGCGGCCCUCUCAAGGCCGAAACGGGGGUUCGAUUCCCCCUGGGGUCACC
rnacentral:tRNA from 2 species